GACGAACGCUGGCGGCGUGCCUAAUACAUGCAAGUCGAACGCAGUGGGGACGGGUGAGUAACACGUGGGUAACCUCCCAUCAGAGGGGAUAACACUUGGUAACAGGUGCUAAACCGAUACUGAUGGAUGAACCCGCGGUGUAUUAGCUAGUUGGUGAGGGAAAGGCUCACCAAGGCCACGAUGCAUAGCCGACCUGAGAGGGGGAGCGGCCACACUGGGACUGAGACACGGCCCAGACUCCUACGGGAGGCAGCAGUAGGGAAUCUUCGGAAAUGGGCGAAAGUCUGACCGAGAAACGCCGCGUGAGUGAAGAAGGUGUUCGGAUCGUAAAACUCUGUUAUUAGAGAAGCGGUAUCUAACCAGAAAGCCACGGCUAACUACGUGCCAGCCGCCGCGGUAAUUC
rnacentral:rRNA from 1 species